GAGUAAGGGUGCUCAGCGCCCGACCUCCAACCCUUUGUUGUUAAAACUACCUUGUUGCUUUGGCGGGACCGCUCGGUCUCGAGCCGCUGGGGAUUCGUCCCAGGCGAGCGCCCGCCAGAGUUAAACCAAACUCUUGUUAUUUAACCGGUCGUCUGAGUUAAAAUUUUGAAU
rnacentral:misc_RNA from 1 species